AGAGGAUGGACACAGGUUAGAGGAUGGACACAGGUUAGAGGAUGGACACAGAUUAGAGGAUGGACACAGGUUAGAGGAUGGACACAGGUCAGAGGAUGGACACAGGUUAGAGGAUGGACACAGGUUAGAGGAUGGACACAGGUUAGAGGAUGGACACAGGUUAGAGGAUGGACACAGGUCAGAGGAUGGACACAGGUUAGAGGAUGGACACAGGUCAGAGGAUGGACACAGGUCAGAGGAUGGACACAGGUUAGAGGAUGGACACAGGUUAGAGGAUGGACACAGAUUAGAGGAUGGACACAGGUUAGAGGAUGGACACAGAUUAGAGGAUGGACACAGGUUAGAGGAUGGACACAGGUUAGAGGAUGGACACAGAUUAGAGGAUGGACACAGGUCAGAGGAUGGACACAGGUUAGAGGAUGGACACAGGUCAGAGGAUGGACACAGGUUAGAGGAUGGACACAGGUUAGAGGAUGGACACAGGUUAGAGGAUGGACACAGGUCAGAGGAUGGACACAGGUUAGAGGAUGGACACAGGUUAGAGGAUGGACACAGGUCAGAGGAUGGACACAGGUUAGAGGAUGGACACAGGUUAGAGGAUGGACACAGGUUAGAGGAUGGACACAGGUCAGAGGAUGGACACAGGUUAGAGGAUGGACACAGGUCAGAGGAUGGACA